rnacentral:lncRNA from 1 species
GCAGCGGCCGGGCCCCGGGCCUCUCACACCAGCGACCUUCAGGCGUGACGGGCCGGGGCAGCCCGGCGCGGCUGGCCUCGGGCCCGGCAGGGAGUGGGGGGUCUGUGCUCCCGCASGAUCCGGGCGCUUCCCGGCUCCUACAGGGAAAGGGCUCAUUUCUCCCUGGCGGUUCACCUAAAAGUCACAGCGUCCUGCAGCGAGCAGUCAGCGCUUUGCCACCAGCCCUGGGGAGCCGCUGGCUCACCCUGCCCUCGCACGGCCUAGGCCCGGCCCGGCGCCGCCAGGGCCGUGCAGUGAUCUGUGCAGAGCUAUAUUUUCUUCUGUGGUAUAUGGAUGACACAGUGUCAAUUGGCAGAGAUGGUGAAGAUUUCCCAUGCUUUUCAGUAUUCUCUGAGGCGUGUUCCUCACAAAUUGUACAGAUAAAAGGACUUCCUGAAGCCAAUGGAACUAUUACCAUCAGUGUUAAUAAGAUCAGAGUUUUGCUCACAGCCUUUUUAAUGAGUCAGUAG